rnacentral:other from 1 species
UAAGUUCUAGGGUGUGCGCGUUGCCCACAUACGUGUUUGCCGAACAAUAUUGUUACAUUGGGACUUAGGUUAACUCGGUUGGAUUGCAGGCCUUGUACACUUGGUAGCAUGAAUACCGAUAUACCUGUCCCACCUGCUUAUCAGCGGGCCAAAACCUAUCGGGCAAUUAACGGCACUAUUAGAUCUUCA